rnacentral:rRNA from 1 species
GUGUCAGCAGCCGCGGUAAUACGUAGGGUGCGAGCGUUAAUCGGAAUUACUGGGCGUAAAGCGUGCGCAGGCGGUAAGUUAAGUCUGAUGUGAAAGCCCCGGGCUCAACCUGGGAAUGGCAUUGGAAACUGGCUUGCUAGAGUGUGGCAGAGGGGGGUGGAAUUCCGCGUGUAGCAGUGAAAUGCGUAGAGAUGCGGAGGAACACCGAUGGCGAAGGCAGCCCCCUGGGCCAACACUGACGCUCAGGCACGAAAGCGUGGGGAGCAAACAGGAUUAGAAACCCGCGUAGUCC